rnacentral:rRNA from 1 species
AGAGUUUGAUCCUGGCUCAGGACGAACGCUGGCGGCGUGCCUAAUACAUGCAAGUAGAACGCUGACUACUUUAGCUUGCUAGAGUAGAAGGAGUUGCGAACGGGUGAGUAACGCGUAGGUAACCUGCCUACUAGCGGGGGAUAACUAUUGGAAACGAUAGCUAAUACCGCAUAACAGUGUUUAACACAUGUUAGAUGCUUGAAAGAUGCAAAUGCAUCACUAGUAGAUGGACCUGCGUUGUAUUAGCUAGUUGGUGGGGUAACGGCCUACCAAGGCGACGAUACAUAGCCGACCUGAGAGGGUGAUCGGCCACACUGGGACUGAGACACGGCCCAGACUCCUACGGGAGGCAGCAGUAGGGAAUUUUCGGCAAUGGGGGAAACCCUGACCGAGCAACGCCGCGUGAAGGAAGAAGUAAUUCGUUAUGUAAACUUCUGUCAUAGAGGAAGAACGGUGGAUAUAGGGAAUGAUAUCCAAGUGACGGUACUCUAUAAGAAAGCCACGGCUAACUACGUGCCAGCAGCCGCGGUAAUACGUAGGUGGCGAGCGUUAUCCGGAAUUAUUGGGCGUAAAGAGGGAGCAGGCGGCACUAAGGGUCUGUGGUGAAAGAUCGAAGCUUAACUUCGGUAAGCCAUGGAAACCGUAGAGCUAGAGUGUGUGAGAGGAUCGUGGAAUUCCAUGUGUAGCGGUGAAAUGCGUAGAUAUAUGGAGGAACACCAGUGGCGAAGGCGACGAUCUGGCGCAUAACUGACGCUCAGUCCCGAAAGCGUGGGGAGCAAAUAGGAUUAGAUACCCUAGUAGUCCACGCCGUAAACGAUGAGUACUAAGUGUUGGGUGUCAAAGCUCAGUGCUGCAGUUAACGCAAUAAGUACUCCGCCUGAGUAGUACGUUCGCAAGAAUGAAACUCAAAGGAAUUGACGGGGGCCCGCACAAGCGGUGGAGCAUGUGGUUUAAUUCGAAGCAACGCGAAGAACCUUACCAAGUCUUGACAUCCCACUGACCGGACAGUAAUGUGUCCUUUCCUUCGGGACAGUGGAGACAGGUGGUGCAUGGUUGUCGUCAGCUCGUGUCGUGAGAUGUUGGGUUAAGUCCCGCAACGAGCGCAACCCCUGUUGCCAGUUGCCAGCAUUAAGUUGGGGACUCUGGCGAGACUGCCGGUGACAAGCCGGAGGAAGGCGGGGAUGACGUCAAAUCAUCAUGCCCCUUAUGACCUGGGCUACACACGUGCUACAAUGGACAGAGCAGAGGGAAGCGAAGCCGCGAGGUGGAGCGAAACCCAUAAAACUGUUCUCAGUUCGGACUGCAGUCUGCAACUCGACUGCACGAAGAUGGAAUCGCUAGUAAUCGCGAAUCAGCAUGUCGCGGUGAAUACGUUCUCGGGCCUUGUACACACCGCCCGUCACACCAUGAGAGUCGGUAACACCCGAAGCCGGUGGCCUAACCGCAAGGAAGGAGCUGUCUAAGGUGGGACUGAUGAUUGGGGUGAAGUCGUAACAAGGUAUCCCUACGGGAACGUGGGGAUG